GACGAACGCUGGCGGCGUGCUUAACACAUGCAAGUCGAACGGUGAAGCUCCAGCUUGCUGGAGUGGAUCAGUGGCGAACGGGUGAGUAACACGUGAGCAACCUGCCCCAGACUCUGGAAUAAGCGCUGGAAACGGCGUCUAAUACUGGAUACGAGAUCAAGCCACAUGGUUAUGGUCUGGAAAGUUUUUCGGUUUGGGAUGGGCUCGCGGCCUAUCAGCUUGUUGGUGAGGUAAUGGCUCACCAAGGCGACGACGGGUAGCCGGCCUGAGAGGGCGACCGGCCACACUGGGACUGAGACACGGCCCAGACUCCUACGGGAGGCAGCAGUGGGGAAUAUUGCACAAUGGGCGAAAGCCUGAUGCAGCGACGCCGCGUGAGGGAUGACGGCCUUCGGGUUGUAAACCUCUUUCAGCAGGGAAGAAGCGAAAGUGACGGUACCUGCAGAAGAAGCACCGGCUAACUACGUG
rnacentral:rRNA from 1 species